UACGUAGGGUGCAGGCGUUAAUCGGAAUUACUGGGCGUAAAGCGUGCGCAGGCGGUCUUUUAAGUCAGAUGUGAAAUCCCCGGGCUCAACCUGGGAAUUGCGAUGGAGACUGCAAGGCUUGAAUCUGGCAGAGGGGGGUAGAAUUCCACGUGUAGCAGUGAAAUGCGUAGAGAUGUGGAGGAACACCGAUGGCGAAGGCAGCCCCCUGGGUCAAGAUUGACGCUCAUGCACGAAAGCGUGGGGAGCAAACAGG
rnacentral:rRNA from 1 species